UAGCAAUUUCUCAAAUCCAUUGUACUAGCUUUGUAAUUUGCUUCCAUGACCCACGGAGUCUAUUGACUCAGCCAGUGAAUUUCGUUUUUAUUGUUUUUUUCUUAAAGGAAGAGAAAAAGACCGGUCUCUGUUUGGAAAUUACAAACAUAGAAGAACUUAGAAACAAUGGGUUUCUAGAUUGGGUGGAAGGACUGGCUUGGGAUCCUGAGAGAGCAAGAAAAGUUUACCGGGAGCUUCAGAAAAAGUUAUUCAUCAUUUUUGGAGUGGAUAUUCAGAAGUGACUUCCCUCUUUUGCUCUGGUGCCUGGCUACUUCAAGAGUUGAGCUAAUCACAGGGAAGAUUCAGUCUCAGUUCAGCUGCCUCAUUUGAUCAGCUCAAGACUGAGUCCAACAAAAGUGGUCUGUCUAAUGAAACUCAUUUUCAUUUUUUCUCAUUAGUCUAUACACGAUUGAGACUGUAGAACGACAAAAGAAUAAAAAGAAGAAUGACAAUUAAAAAUCAUUUUCUCUGGCCCUUGAUUUUU
rnacentral:lncRNA from 1 species